AGGAUGAACGCUGGCGGCGUGCCUAACACAUGCAAGUCGAACGUCCUGUCUCGCAAGAGGCAGGGAGUGGCGGACGGGUGAGUACCACGUGGGUCAUCUACCGUGAGGUGAGGAAUACCGGCGAGAAAUCGCCGACAAGACCGCAUAGGCUCGAUGCAAGUCGAGCAAAGCUCUUUCGAGAGAGGGAGCGCCACACGAGGAGCCUGCGCCCGAUUAGCUAGCUGGUGGAGUAACGGUUCACCAGGGCGACGAUCGGUAGCUGGUCUGAGAGGACGAUCAGCCACACUGGGAUUGAGAACGGCCCAGACUCCUACGGGGGGCAGCAGUGAGGAAUUUUCGUCAAUGGGGGCAACCCUGAACGAGCAACGCCGCGUGCAGGAAGAAGGUUUUCGGAUCGUAAACUGCUUUUCUCGGGGAAGAGAGUGGACGGUACCCGAGGAAUCAGCCCCGGCUAACUACGUGCCAGCAGCCGCGGU
rnacentral:rRNA from 1 species